UCCCUGGUGGUCCAGUGGUUAAGAAUCUGCCUGCCAGUGCAGGAGACACAGGUUCAAUUCCUGGUCAGGGAA
rnacentral:tRNA from 1 species